rnacentral:rRNA from 1 species
GAGAGCGUGCCUUUUGUAGAAUGAACCGGCGAGUUACGAUAUGAUGCGAGGUUAAGUUGAAGAGACGGAGCCGUAGGGAAACCGAGUCUUAAUAGGGCGAUUUAGUAUCAUGUUGUAGACCCGAAACCAUGUGACCUACCCAUGAGCAGGUUGAAGGUGAGGUAAAACUCACUGGAGGACCGAACCAGGGCACGUUGAAAAGUGCUUGGAUGACUUGUGGGUAGCGGAGAAAUUCCAAACGAACUUGGAGAUAGCUGGUUCUCUCCGAAAUAGCUUUAGGGCUAGCGUCGAUGUUAAGUCUCUUGGAGGUAGAGCACUGUUUGGGUGAGGGGUCCAUCUCGGAUUACCAAUCUCAGAUAAACUCCGAAUGCCAACGAGAUAUCAUCGGCAGUCAGACUGCGAGUGCUAAGAUCCGUAGUCGAAAGGGAAACAGCCCAGACCACCAGCUAAGGUCCCAAAAUAACUGUUAAGUGGAAAAGGAUGUGGGGUUGCACAGACAACUAGGAUGUUAGCUUAGAAGCAGCUAUUCAUUCAAAGAGUGCGUAAUAGCUCACUAGUCGAGUGACCCUGCGCCGAAAAUGUACCGGGGCUAAAACAGUUUACCGAAGCUGUGGAUGACACAAAAGUGUCAUGGUAGGAGAGCGUUCUAUGUGUGAAGAAGGUGUACCGUGAGGAGCGCUGGAACGCAUAGAAGUGAGAAUGCCGGUAUGAGUAGCGAAAGACAGGUGAGAAUCCUGUCCACCGUAAGACUAAGGUUUCCAGGGGAAGGCUCGUCCGCCCUGGGUUAGUCGGGACCUAAGGAGAGACCGAAAGGUGUAUCCGAUGGCCAACAGGUUGAUAUUCCUGUACUAGAGUAUAUAGUGAUGGAGGGACGCAGUAGGCUAACUAAACCGGACGAUUGGAAGAGUCCGGCUAAGCAGUGAGGUGUAAGAUGAGUCAAAUGCUUAUCUUUAUAACAUUGAGCUGUGAUGGGGAGCGAAUUUUAGUAGCGAAGUUAGUGAUGUCACACUGCCAAGAAAAGCUUCUAGCGUUUAAUGAUACUCUACCCGUACCGCAAACCGACACAGGUAGUCGAGGCGAGUAGCCUCAGGUGAUCGAGAGAACUCUCGUUAAGGAACUCGGCAAAAUGACCCCGUAACUUCGGGAGAAGGGGUGCUGACUUAGGUCAGCCGCAGUGAAUAGGCCCAAGCAACUGUUUAUCAAAAACACAGCUCUCUGCUAAAUCGUAAGAUGAUGUAUAGGGGGUGACGCCUGCCCGGUGCUGGAAGGUUAAGAGGAGGGUUUAGCGCAAGCGAAGAUCUGAAUUGAAGCCCCAGUAAACGGCGGCCGUAACUAUAACGGUCCUAAGGUAGCGAAAUUCCUUGUCGGGUAAGUUCCGACCCGCACGAAAGGCGUAAUGAUUUGGGCACUGUCUCAACGAGAGACUCGGUGAAAUUUUAGUACCUGUGAAGAUGCAGGUUACCCGCGACAGGACGGAAAGACCCCAUGGAGCUUUACUGCAGUUUGAUAUUGAGUAUCUGUACCACAUGUACAGGAUAGGUAGGAGCCAUUGACUUCGGGACGCCAGUUUCGAAUGAGGCGCUGUUGGGAUACU